rnacentral:rRNA from 1 species
CGAAGCUAAGAUUGCGGAAGUUUUCGGAUGGAAGUGAACUUAGCUUAGUGGCGAACGGGUGAGUAACACGUGAGUAACCUGCCCUUCAGUGGGGGACAACAGUUGGAAACGACUGCUAAUACCGCAUAAGACCACAGUACCACAUGGUACAGUGAUCAAAGGAUUAAUUUUCGCUGAAGGAUGGACUCGCGUCUGAUUAGCUAGAUGGUGAGGUAACGGCCCACCAUGGCAACGAUCAGUAGCCGGACUGAGAGGUUGAUCGGCCACAUUGGGACUGAGACACGGCCCAGACUCCUACGGGAGGCAGCAGUGGGGGAUAUUGCACAAUGGAGGAAACUCUGAUGCAGCGACGCCGCGUGAGGGAAGAAGGUUUUCGGAUUGUAAACCUCUGUCUUCGGGGACGAAACAAAUGACGGUACUCGAGGAGGAAGCCACGGCUAACUACGUGCCAGCAGCCGCGGUAAUACGUAGGUGGCAAGCGUUGUCCGGAAUUACUGGGUGUAAAGGGAGCGCAGGCGGAACUGCAAGUUGGGUGCUUAAUCUACGGGCUCAACCCGUAUCAGCAUUCAAAACUGUGGUUCUUGAGUAAUGCAGAGGUAGGCGGAAUUCCCGGUGUAGCGGUGGAAUGCGUAGAUAUCGGGAGGAACACCAGU